rnacentral:lncRNA from 1 species
GCCCUGCCCCUGCCGGCCCUGUCGCAGAAGCGCCUCGGCGUUGGCCGUCGGGUGGUGGCUUAGUGUAAUGAUAAAGCGGCCAACACUGUGCUUCAGCUGAGAACCUCCCUUGUAAUCUGAAUUUCAGGAAGAACCUUCAAUCCCUCAAGAUUAAAAGCCAAGAGAGAGGGAGAGAUGAGGAGAGCCCUGCCAGGAAAAAGAAUUAAGAGACAGCAAGAUAGACUGACUGAUCCUACCUGGACAGAGUUAAUUGACAGCUCUCCUGGACAGAUUCGAAGUUUCGCACACAGACCUUGAAAAGGAUGACAGCCUACUUAGUUGAGUGUUUUGCUAAGGUGGAACUAGUGAAUGAAUGAGAAAGACUGGACUAGCAUGGUUGAGAAGGUGGUACUAUCAAAUAAAGA